rnacentral:rRNA from 1 species
CAGUCGCCGCGGGAAUACAGAGGGUGCGAGCGUUAAUCGGAUUUACUGGGCGUAAAGCGUGCGUAGGCGGCUUCUUAAGUCGGAUGUGAAAUCCCUGAGCUUAACUUAGGAAUUGCAUUCGAUACUGGGCAGCUAGAGUAUGGGAGAGGAUGGUAGAAUUCCAGGUGUAGCGGUGAAAUGCGUAGAGAUCUGGAGGAAUACCGAUGGCGAAGGCAGCCAUCUGGCCUAAUACUGACGCUGAGGUACGAAAGCAUGGGGAGCAAACAGGAUUAGAUACCCCUGUAGUCCCUGUCUCUUAUAC